rnacentral:lncRNA from 1 species
AUGUCCAGAUACUAGCUUAUCUGAAAAUUCUGCCAAUUUGUGAGUUAAAUGGAAGAAUGGAUAGUUCCCAAUUUUAUAGAAUCUAUUAAAUGGAAGUUGUAAAUAACAAUCUUCAGAGUUUCCUGAUUGAAGACUGAGGUCUGUGGAUCCUCUAAGUGGCAGAGCUGGAAAAUCUCAUCUUCUGCUUGCAUUCCUGGCUUUUCUCCAAUUUGAAUUUGCAAACAUCAAGGGCUCUGCAUACUCUCUGUGCUUGAAACUGGGCCUGGAAAAGCUCAUUUGCAUUCCUGCAGCAAGGCUGGUGAAUAAACCGAGCAAACGUGUCUAUUUGUGUACUUCAAUAUAUGACUGUGCUUGCUUCAAUCAAGACUUAUUUUCAGUAUCAUGGCCAACAAAAGCAUUAAAUGAGUUUUCUCCAACAUGAAUGAUAAGCUGUAGAAUGUAUUUCUUUAAAAUAUUUUUUUCUGUGACACUUAUGGAAUGCAAUGAAAAAUAGAAGCAAGAGUGCAAAUCUCACUAGACAUUCACAAUGCUGCCUUGCCAUAUGAACUCUUUCUCCUUGUUUCCUGACAUGUUAAGUGCCUUCAUUAUAGUUUAGGUUGUAC